rnacentral:rRNA from 1 species
CACGUAGGGUGCGAGCGUUGUCCGGAAUUAUUGGGCGUAAAGAGCUCGUAGGCGGUGUGUCGCGUCGGCCGUGAAAACCUGCAGCUUAACUGUGGGCUUGCGGUCGAUACGGGCAUCACUGGAGUUCGGCAGGGGAGACUGGAAUUCCUGGUGUAGCGGUGAAAUGCGCAGAUAUCAGGAGGAACACCGGUGGCGAAGGCGGGUCUCUGGGCCGCCACUGACGCUGAGACACGAAAGCGUGGGUAGCAAACAGG